rnacentral:rRNA from 1 species
GACGAACCGUGCGAACGUUGUUCGGAAUCACUGGGCUUAAAGGGCGCGUAGGCGGGCUGCCGCGUCCGGGGUGAAAUCCUCCCGCUCAACGGGAGAACGGCCUCGGAUACGGGCGGCCUCGAGGGGGGUAGGGGCAUCUGGAACUGUGGGUGGAGCGGUGAAAUGCGUUGAUAUCCACAGGAACUCCGGUGGCGAAGGCGAGGUGCUGGACCCCACCUGACGCUGAGGCGCGAAAGCCAGGGGAGCGAACGGG